GGAGAGUGAAGGGUGCCUGGUGGCCCUCGCGGUCUUCAAAACCGCCGUGUCGGCGCUUGCGUCGACAGGAGUGUUCGAUUCGCUCCCUCUCCGCCA
rnacentral:tRNA from 2 species